AUGCCGGAGGGUGUUAACUCUACCUCCAUAGUUCUUAUUCCUAAGAUAUCUAACCCUGUUAGAUUGUCUGAUUACAGGCCAAUAAGUCUUUGUAAUGUGAUAUACAAAGUUAUUUCCAAAUGCCUGGUGAACCGGUUGAGGCCAUUAUUGGAUGAUCUUAUUUCACCGGAGCAGAGUGCUUUCAUCCUAGGUAGAAUGAUCACAGAUAAUGCACUAGUGGCUUUUGAGUGCAUACAUUUUAUCAAACAUGAGAAAGACCCUAACAAAAGUUUUUGUGCCUAUAGACUUGAUUUAUCAAAAGCCUAUGAUAGGGUGGAUUGGGUAUUCUUGAAGCAGGUGAUGCAAAAGUUGGGUUUCUCUCAAUGA
rnacentral:rRNA from 1 species